UAAAGAUUCAUCGCUGAUAGAUAGGCAUGCGUUCCAUUAGGCAGUUGGCGGGGUAACGGCCCACCAAACCGACGAUGGAUAGGGGUUCUGAGAGGAAGGUCCCCCACAUUGGUACUGAGACACGGACCAAACUCCUACGGGAGGCAGCAGUGAGGAAUAUUGGUCAAUGGGCGUAAGCCUGAACCAGCCAAGUCGCGUGAGGGAUGAAGGUUCUAUGGAUCGUAAACCUCUUUUAUAAGGGAAUAAAGUGCGGGACGUGUCCCGUUUUGUAUGUACCUUAUGAAUAAGGAUCGGCUAACUCCGUGCCAGCAGCCGCGGUAAUACGGAGGAUCCGAGCGUUAUCCGGAUUUAUUGGGUUUAAAGGGUGCGUAGGCGGCCUUUUAAGUCAGCGGUGAAAGUCUGUGGCUCAACCAUAGAAUUGCCGUUGAAACUGGGAGGCUUGAGUAUGUUUGAGGCAGGCGGAAUGCGUGGUGUAGCGGUGAAAUGCUUAGAUAUCACGCAGAACCCCGAUUGCGAAGGCAGCCUGCCAGGCCAUGACUGACGCUGAUGCACGAAAGCGUGGGGAUCAAACAGGAUUAGAUACCCUGGUAGUCCACGCAGUAAACGAUGA
rnacentral:rRNA from 1 species